UUGCCUGAUCUGAUGACAAGACUUUCGCUGCAUGCAUAUUUAAUGUAUGACGUCACCCACACAGAGUGAGAGCUCGAAGUUUUCUUUGAAAGUUUGAUGGAAAAUGUACAGAGAUACUUGUCGCAGUUAAUGCAUGCAGUACCAAAUGCUUGCUUUCUGGGAGUAUGUGCUUGAAACAAGAAUGUCCUGGAGAAAACAGACCACCACAAGAGAAGACAUACAUGUACAGUAUGGACUAUGAAGUUCUACUUAGCCUCUUCAAUGAACUGCUGGAGCUGCGACUGGGUAUCAAAACCUUGGUAUUAUAAACUUCAUAACCAGUGGCGGAGAUAUGUUGUUAGCCAGGAGGGAGGGGUCAGUGCCCCCCCCCCACUUUUUCAAGUACCCCCAGUAUGCCCCUUUUAUGGCCUUUUCACAUAGGUAAAGUGCCAUAUUACUUUGACAAGUUCCCCUAUUAAUUUGUAAAAUUGCCCCUUCCCCAUUUCACCUCUGAUAAGUGCCCCUUAUCCUUCGACAAGUUCCCAUUAUUCUAUGCAAUA